GCAAAAGGUUUAGAUUUCCCUCCAACAAGAUUAAUUCUUUUCCCUCCUAAUUGCCCAAACCCUAUCGGUGACCAGUGAAUGUAAAACUAUUCAGACAACAGAGCUAAGAAAUUCUGUUGUUUGAAUAAGGAGUGUUUGACUUUUUUUAUUUGAAGUCGAUCUGUUUUGACAUAACACAAAACCUAGCAGCUUCGUGUUUUUCAUUCCCACAAACCUCUCUGUCUAAAACUCUCUUGCGCCAACCAGAAACUCUAUACCUCUCAAAAAUCGGCCCUCUCUCAAAUCAAAUCUAAUUUCUGAAACCCAGUCCUCCCUCACCCAGAUUUCUCUCCUAAUCUCCUUGACGAAUCGAUGAUUGACGGCGGUUGCAUGACGGGCAGCGACACAUCUCUUUUCGGGUUGCCACAGAAAGUCUAGAAACCCGUAGAGCAGAGAAUCGUAACCCACCCGUGUACUUUCUCUGUUUUUAGCCUCCACUGACCCUUCCAGAAGUUCCAUGACUUCUAGAUGUUUACCAUGCCAAAUCUAUAGAUAAGAGAAAAGCAUCGGAGGAGAAGAGAUUUUUCAUCGGAGGUGAUGUUUUAUUGAUGCUUGUAGUUUUGUGGUUUUGAAUCGGUGGAUUUUGUUGUGGUUGGGUUUCAAUUGAUCUUGGUUUUUAUGUUUUGUUGAGGUUUUAUGCAAAGGAGUAUUUGGGUUGUUCUUUUGGUGUUGUUAGUUGGUUUUACUUGGUUGUGCUGCUGUGAAUCAGGCUCCAACAUCGUUUUCAGAUCUGUGGCAAGGCUCCCCAAAUCGUUAUAUGCGUUGCACUCUCUCUGUUGGAGUUGGAUCUCAAGAUACUUCGCAUCGUUUUCAGAUCUAUGGAUUUAAUAUUAGGAGAAGGACCUUUCCCCAAAUGAUCAGUCUCUCAGAUUCGCUCCAAAAAUCGAUUUUAGCUCCAGUAAUGGGCAUGCACUCAGCGCUCUGUCUUUCAUGGUGGUCUGUUUCUUCGUUCUUCUCUUGUUAUAUGCUUUUGUUGUUCCAUUUGCUCAGUUCUUGUGAAAUUUCCUUGACUAAUUAGUUCCAUUAAUUAUUUGAUUGGUUGCUUAGAAAUUUGGAUAGAUAGAUAUUUCAUUUCAUGGUUAGAGUUAUCCCUAUGAAAGGAAGAAGCGUUCUUUAAUUAUUGGACAUUGUUCAUUUUCUAAUUCUAAAUAAGAAAAUAAAUCACCGAGUGUCUACCCAUACAAUUUUUCGAUCAGUGAAUGUACAGUAACUAGCUUUGGAAGCUUGAGGUGUUUAGAUCGAUAUUCAAAGUUACGAACUACUUUUUUUGAGCUUGAUGGUCAAUUUGGUUAUGUGAAACAUACAAUUAAUUAUGUACUUGGUCAGUUGUCUUUGCUUAGCUUAUCACUGCUCAAUGUUAAAUGGGUAUUUGUAAAAACCCAUGUUGAACGAGGUCGAGGAUUUGCAAAAGGAUCCGCCUACCUCGUGUAGUGCUGGUAUAGGCUCCUUUUACCACUCUCUUUCAUGCUUAUAUCUCAAUUUUUAUUAUGAAAAUCCUGAUUUCCGUUUCAGAAUAUAUAAAAUAAUGACAUGGGAUAUAGAAGGUACAUAUUGACUAGUUAAUUUUAAGGCAAAGUACUUUUGGUUGAUCAAGUGCAAUUGACGUUACAAGACAUUUAUCUAGCAAAUGAAUUUGCUGCUUUCAACUGAAAUUUUCGAGGAUGGUUUUAGUGAAGUUGCUAUUGUCCUUUCUCAUUAACUUCCCAGUAAGUGAAUGGAUACAAGUACAUUACAUCUGCAUGUUAUUUCAGUUUUUCUUGCUCUGGACUUAAUUAUUUUUUACUCCAAUCUGGAAGGCAGUUUCCUGAGCAUGCAAUCAAGGGAUUGUUGAAGAUGAACUGGCAACCUUGAAGUCCAUCGUGGUGAAGCUUAUUCUUAUUACAAGGACUUUGGGAGACAUAUUGCUAUGCAAAACAAAGAAAAAACCAAUAGAAACAGCAGAAGCCCCAGAGUGCCAUGAGCAAAUAGACUGAAUGAAGGGAAGGAGGUGCUGGUUAGUAAAUCUCUUUUCCAUACCUUGUACUUCUAUGCUUUUACUUUAGCAUGUGGUUCACGCAUUAUAAGCUUUGGUUUUGGCUGUAGCUCCUAGUAGAUAAGGUUUUUAUGUUAUCUUCUUAUAUAUCUAUGAUAUAUUUCAUAAUGAAGAGUGGUUAUAGUUAGUAGUUUUUAUCUAUGAUAUAUUUCAUAAGGAAGCAGUUAGUUGGACGUACAAGGCCUCCUAAAGUACUUCCAGAACUGUAAUUGAAACUGUGAAAUACUGAAAUGCUUCGAAGACUUUAAAAAGUAUGCUUAAAGUAGCUUUUGGGCAAGUUCUUCUCUAUAAGUUAGAGCCAAAUCAGCAUAUCCAACUGGUUAACAUUAUACACAUCCUCAUCUUGGAAUUAAGCUUCUGCUGGUGUCAUUGCUCCUUCUGACUUUGUGAAUCAUUCACUGAAAGAAUCUUUUCCAUACUUGGUUUUCAGCUAAGAAGUGUGCCCAGCUUUUUUGUCGAUUAUACUAGAUGUUUCACAAACUAAUAGAACUAAUGAACAAAAGUUUUGAUCAUGUGGGAACUGCAUUUGUAAUUUGGGCUGUUUUGUGUCAAAGGUUCUUAAUCACAUGUCAAGAACCUUGUUUCUAGUUAUUGUAUCGCCACUGUACUAAUUAUGCAGAUCUUUGGCUCAAUCUCAUGCUGUAGGUAAAAUUUUACUCGCAUUCCUUGUAUGGAAUGAAAAUUAUUUUCUCAAACUGUAAUCAUGCGUUCCUCAUAUGAACUUGCAUAACUGUGCCCCAGCAUUGUCUGAUAGUUGUUGACUUGUUGUCGUCUUUCAGAUCAGUUGAGCAGCACCGUUUCGCCACCAAAAAACAACACCGUUUGAUUCUGUUGUUCCCCAUUCUUUCAAAUUCAUCAUUCCCCAAUGUUAUCUCAAUACUGUUACUCUACUUGGUUCUCUAUGCUUAGUAAUAAAUGUGAGUUGAUGUGGUAGUAUUUGUGACUUGGUUUUCAAGUGGGAAAUCAUCUGCAUGUAAAAUGUGUAUGUUGCUGUCAAUACCUGUUUUGUGCGAGUUGGUUUACUAUUGUGCUACAGAUGUGGCCAGAUCAUUGGCCUGUAAUUUGGUUGCAACCCUCUUCAUUCUUCAAAUCAAUAUUUUUUUUUGGAAUAAACAUGAAUUAUUAUGCAUUUCUCACUUAAGGAAAGUAUUCUUUUUCUUUUUACUAUACUUCUCUUUAUUAUUUACAUGUACACUAUAACUUAAAUUGUUCCGGAGUUCACUAUGUAUUGCUACAGUAUUUGGACGAGAACAAGUCAUUGAUUUUGAAGAUUGUUGAGAGCCAGAAUUCAGGGAAAUUGAGUGAAUGUGCAGAGUGAGCAUUUAUUUCUUUUAUUCUCCUACUUUGCAAUUUAUUAGCACCACGCAGUAAGUUGGACCCUCUAAAGCCUAGGAUAUUGGAAACUGCUUUGUGGGGUUUAACCUAUUAGUUUCUAGUAAAAUCAGAAUUCUUGUUUUGAAAGUUAGCCCUAUUUGGCUUGGAGGUAAAACGUGUACUUUCAGAAUUUACUGCUAAUUAAAGCUAGUCAAUAUAUCUGGGUGCUGCCUAGUAGUGCACAUAAACAUGUGCCAAGGUCCUGCUGAAGGCAGACUGGAUAUUCGAAGUGACAUACAUUUUUGAUUCAUGAACUGCUCUUUAGUAUACUAUAAUGAUGAAGUUUUUUUUUUUUUUCUUUCUUUUCAUUCAUAAAACAUGCAGUAGGGUUUGUUAUUAGGUCUCUGGUUUCAGUCUCUACUUCUCACCAUUUAACAAAUCUAUUAAUCUCUUUAUGUUCCAUUAUUGUUUUCCAAAGUAUCCUAUAAGUCUCUCUCUGACAGGUUAUGGAGGUCAUGAAGAUAUUGGAGAUUGACCUUGAAAGUGGAUGGAUUUUGCCCAAGUUAUUUCAGUGGGAAAGGAAAGCAAAUCACUUCUACACACAAAAAGACAUUGAUCAGGUCCCGGCCGAGUGGGCAAAGUAUGUCAGCCAAUUUCAACAAAGCUAGUGUGUCGAGAAGAUUCUAAUUUUGGACAUGCAUCAUCUAUAACCCAUAUUAACUAGUUAUGCAGUUGGUCUAAGUAUCUAUUUUUGGCCUGCAAGUACAGUUUAUGAUAAGUAGUAUGAGAUAUCAGUGUUUUUUGGGUUACAUUUGUUGAUCAUGCCAACUGCUAUGGGUUAUUGAACUGAUGUUUAUUAAGUUUAGCUCCAUGAUGGAUGUAUGUAUAGCUGCAGGAACAGAUUGAUCAAAUAUUGGUAUUUUUGUGAAUGAAUUUCAUAUUUGAUGAAUG